GCCAGCAUGGUGUAGUGGUUUGAACGUUGGGACUAUUAUUCCAGAGACCAGGGUUCAAAUCCCAGCUCAGCCG